rnacentral:misc_RNA from 1 species
GUAAUGCGAUAAGUAAUGUGAAUUGUAGAAUUCAGUGAAUCAUCGAAUCUUUGAACGCACCUUGCGCUCCUUGGUAUUCCUUGGAGCAUGCCUGUUUGAGUAUCAUGAAAUCUUCAAAGUAAAUCUUUUGUUAACUCAAUUGGUUUCUACUUUGGUAUUGGAGGUCUUUGCAGCUUCACACCUGCUCCUCUUUGUUCAUUAGCUGGAUCUCAGUGUUAUGCUUGGUUCCACUCGGCGUGAUAAGUUAUCUAUCGCUGAGGACACUGUAAAAGGUGGCCAAGGUAAAUGCAGAUGAACCGCUUCUAAUAGUCCAUUGACUUGGACAAUACUUUUAUGAUCUGAUCUCAAAUCAGGUAGGACUACCCGCUGAACUUAAGC